CCCGGUGGUAAUGGCGGAGGGGUCACACCUGUUCCCAUCCCGAACACAGUAGUUAAGCCCUCCUGCGCCGAUGGUACUGCAGGUCAUCCUGUGGGAGAGUAGGGCACUGCCGGGA
rnacentral:rRNA from 2 species